CCCCUCUCAGGAUCACACCUGGAGAGUUUCCAGUACUCUACCAGUCUUGGCUAUGGGAGGGACAGUCAAGCAGAGGCCUACCCAUUCCAUUCCUAGGUUGGGCAGUGGGUAGCAAGUGGAAGGCAAUCAGCUACAAGU
rnacentral:snoRNA from 1 species